GACAGAGGUGCCGAGCGUUAGGCGGAAUCACUGGGCUUAAAGCGUGUGUAGGCGGAUGGGUAAGUACCUUGUGAAAUCCCACGGCUCAACCGUGGAACUGCUCGGUAUACUGCUCGUCUUGAGCCAACUAGGGGCGACCGGAACAAACGGUGGAGCGGUGAAAUGCGCAGAUAUCGGGAGGAACACCAAUGGCGAAGGCAGCUUGCUGGGACGGUACUGACGCUGAGACGCGAAAGCGUGGGGAGCAAACAGG
rnacentral:rRNA from 1 species